UCUUUUUUUUGCGCGCGCUUCUUUUCUUUCUCUUUUGUCGCGCUUGUUGUGCGUGCGCGUGUCUGGCGCGAGCUUUUGUGAGUGAACGAGCGUGGCGCGCGUGGGCUUACUUUAUUGUUGUUUUGCCGCGCAGACAUUUUCCCCAAUUCCCCAUUUCUCCCUGCACCUACUUUUUCUUCCUUUUCUCCCCUCGUUGCGGGGGAUCGGUGAGCGCGUUUUCGGCUCAGCGUCCGAGCUCCAGACACGGACGAGCCACGCGUGGUCGCGCCAGCGUCGCUGCGCUUGCGAGGCCUGCGCGACGCCGGUAGGGCCGGGAACUCGAGAGACCCAGCAGCGGGCAAGAGCAGCAGCCAGGCGCUCCAGGUCUCGGUCGCGGAGAAGGCGUUCGUAGAGGGUGCGAGCCAGGGGCGAGUGCAGCAUCGGCCGCAAGUGCGCCAUCCUUGGACCUGGUGCCACACAAGGGGAAAAGAAGGACAGGAGCAUUUCAAGAACGCGCACAGUGAGGACAAUGAAGAACAGGAAGCACGGUGUUGUGUUUACAUCGACUAUGACAUGUGUCUAUAAACGGCGGGAGAGAAAGCUUACUUCAGUGAAGUAACAAAAAGUGUCUGUCUUUUUUGUGAUAACCUAUCAGGUGUGCACGGUAAGAAUAUUCAUGAAGUCUGAACGUCGUGCUUCACGAGGUCGUGAACUUCACAUGUCUAGGAAUGCGCAGACUAUGGAGAAAAUCAUUCUAAUAUUUUUUCCUUCCUUCUCUCUCAGGCGCUGCAGAAAGAUCACUUUAAUCGGAAAUUAUAUAGUCUAUUUCCUUGUAAGCACGCACUUCGAGAGCAGAGAACACGCGAAACUUUCUAAUGACGACGCGCUUUGCUUCUUUUGAUGUCACAAGUGUUUCAUGCACCGAAGUACAACUCGGCCCGGGCUAACAUGUUCCCGUCACAUCAGUCACGCAGUCAAAAAAGAUGUACCGAGAUGCUUGUGUGCCAAUAAACAGUUUUUGUUAAAUUAAAAGAAGUUCACUUUCAGCACAGCAGUCGCGAACCAAUACCUUAAGGCUCAAUAAGGCAACUCAACGCUCAGGCACAGCAGCUAUGCGAAUAAACACAUAGCAUGGGACUGCCUCCAGCUUAGAAGCUCACUAUACAUUCGAUUACACACAUGAAGACCUCACUUACAACGAAAACUCGUUCAGUGCGAACAAAGAUUGGACCACGACGACAAUGUUUCCCCUUUAGUAAAAGGCAAAAAAAAAAAAAAAAGAAACAGGCUUUUAUUAGAAAUGCUACUGCAAUAAAAAUCGUUUCGUUCUCUGAAAACCGUGAAUGAAGUACCAUAACCUGGCUGCCCUGUUAGUGCGCCGUCGUUCAGGGUAACGUAACAAAAUAACUGAAAUCAGCGGCAGUCUUUUUGCAUUUCAGCGAGGAAUGUGGAACAAUGGUAGGCACUUAUAGCAGAGAAACAAACUGCGCAUAAACUCACUACUUUAGCUUUGUUGUUGAUGAACGCUGGCUUUUAUGCACGAAAGGAGGAUUAGCAGAUAAUGUGACCUUAGAUCAGUGAAUCAAAAAUAAAGUUAAAUGAUUAGGCAGUACACAAGCCGAACACGAACCGAACGCUACCAAACACAGUAAUCAACGUGUUCGAGAACUUGCAGAAGCCCGCUGGAUUGCAAAUUAUGAGCGAAUAAGUGUCAACCAGCAUUUGAUCGCGCUGACAAAAGAAUAAAUAUUUGAACAAGACCCGAGCUAUCGUUUUUAGCUGCCUAUGUGCCUAUUAUUUGCGAUGGUUAGUUUUUAUACCUCGCGCGUGUUGUGUCGCUGUCAAUGCACGUGUUGAUAUAAAUAUGUCUUGGUACGCUUUUUGACAUUCAUGCCCUGUUAUCACUUGUAUGAAUGACCUUCAAAGAGAAAUCGACGCCAAAUUGGUAGACAGCGCUUUCCUGCACAAAACUGAUUUUGCUUUUUUUUGUUUUUUACAUAUUAUGUAUACCCAAACAUUAAGAAACAUGUUGCAGAAGACAUUAUCUUCCUAUCGCCAUCAGAGUGGGAGUUACAGCGAGUUUUCCAACCCAUACCCUCGUAUUGCGAAACUGAAAUCACAUUGCAUUGGUUCCGAAAAUCAGUGAUGUUUCUGUUAAAUAAAUAUUAUUCAAAAUAUUUUUUUCACUUUGUCGGUAACAUUAACGAUUAUUUUUGUACUUAGUUGAGCCUUCGCUAUUCUUUUAAAAUCUAUAAAAACGGCCACAUGGCAUCUAUGACCUCUAUGUGUUGUUUCUGACAUCUUUCACAUGGCUUGAAACAUGUAUUUACGUUUGAAACAAAUAUUUGCUCCAGCUCAUGUUACGCAAACUUUGAUAACCUUCUUUUUCUGAAUGAAUAUUCUGAAAUGAAGUUUUGCACAUUCAUUCCUCACAUAGAGAUGUGUGCAACGAACUAGAACAAAAGUAAUUGAUGUAAUAUUUUGGAAUUGACAGCUCCUAUUGCAAAUAAAUUUGGUCCAAAUGAGCAAAUCUUUUCUCUUUGCUUACUUUUUCAAACAUUACUUCCUUAAUAUUUAUUAUAAUACACUUAUCCUAGUUCAUUGCAUAGGUCCUACAUAAAUGCCAAAGCUUUACUCAAUUCAGCAAUUCAUUAGUUACUUAUGAUUGCUGGCGCGACUAACACUUUUUAACACAUUUUAUAACAAAAAUUACCUGCCAAUAAUAAAAUGAACCAUUUUUUGCGCUUCAAUAGUUGGUUAAGUUAAAUAACACAUGCUUAUUCAGAAAAGAAAUUAUUUCAAUCCCGGCUUCUGAUAAAAAAAAGAAAA